CCCAUUUCCAUCCCAAGGAACACUGCAAUUUGCUGCUCCCUCGGUCUGCAUCUUGUCCCCUCCCUCUCUUCAUCACUCGUACUCAUAUUACCCUGGGAGCUGAUUAGCUCCUUCCCCCUUGUUAGUGUUCAACCAAUUUAGUGAGCUGAAUCAGUUCACUGCAGGGUCAGACAAGCACUGGGGCCCUCAGUGCUGGAGCAGAGGAUGGGACCGGGGCUGGGGCACACCUGGCUGCAGUUCGGGUGUUCUGCUGCCAUCACUUGUGAGACUGUGAGAUUCCAGUACCACAACAACCUAAAGCCCAGGCUCAGCAGCAGUGGAUCCAGACCUGCUCCCCAGGCUGGGGAUGCUCACCACAAUGGUUUCCCUUCUGGUAAGGGAGCUCGCCAUGCCUGGGCUGCCUGCAACUUGCUUUCCUGCAGAGUGACUUCAACCUGCCCACAGCACCUUGCACGUGAUCCUUGUAUGUGGAGCUUUGCCUUCCAGACUGCACUGUGCCCUUCAAUAUUGUGGUGCUGUUGGCUGGCCUCUACACCAGGAUAGCUGUUACAGCUCUUCUCAUGCCCCACUUUGGACAGGAGCCCGGCAAAAUGACUGUCUCACCAGUGAAGUAAUGAAGGGUGCUGCAGGGAAAUCUUAACACCGUGGUAUUUGAACAUAAUCAUUAAGCCUUUACACUUUUGAUAGAUCACAUGACUGGGUACGAAAUGACUGCAUAAAAACCUAUCUCAUCUGGGAUAGAUGUUAAUAUUCCCCUGGAAAUGCAAGUAGCCAAAUGUUUCCUAAAUGGCUACAGUUCUCUAAAGGAAGAGGGUUUCCUUUGGCAUUUUUUGUUUGGAUUUGCUGUUGUUUUGUUGUCUUUUUUUUCCUCUUUCAAAUCCUUGGUUAUACAAUAACUGCAAACAAAUACGUACAUGCAGAAGUUCACAGCUUCUCACAUGGUACAUGUGCCAUAGAACGGGACAGCGGACACAUAAUGAGGAGCCUAAUCCAUUUCUGAAAUCCAGUCACAGGACUGAUGGCUUAGAAAGACUUUUAAAACUCAUUGUCUGGGAGUACAAGGAUGAAUAACUGUAAUAAGCUUUGAAAUGUAUUUCCUUAAGAACAAUGCGGUCUAUUCCUUUAAGUUGAGGCCUUUGAUUCAUUCAAAGGGCUCUGCUGAGCGCUAAGGAGGGGAGGUAGGAGUCAGGCUGGAAUUAAAGCUUUGGCCUUGGUAGAGGACCUGUAUCUACAAAAGCUUGUUGCAAUCAAAACCCCAAGCAAUCCCACAAAGCCCCUCCUCCAGAUCUGCAACCCUGUGCACAGAAAAGAUGUCAGCUUUUGCUGUAGUUGUUACAGCAUUUUAAUUUCAAAUGGGACUGCAGACCCCUGUUAAUAUUGGUUGGGAAGCAAUAACAUGGAUAAGUUCUGUAGGAAAAAUAUAAAAGCCAGGGAAAAAAAAUUGUGUCAGUGUACCUCUGGUGUCAGUGUGUGAAGUGCCAGCAUACAUAAUGCUGCUUUUCUCCCUUAUUUUUUCAGCCUCAGAAGGACUGGGCUCUUCUCUGUCUGCCUGACUCUGUAAAGAAAUGACCAUGGAGAAGUGUUUCUCGGUGAUGAAUUUCACACAGAAAUCAGAUCCAAGGUCGUCUUCUUCUCUGGCAGGUCUGUGAUUUGGGGCCAGCCUUGAGGAAAUUCUGUCCUCUGCACGUGAGCAUAAGUCAAAACGGGAAGCGGUUCAGCAGAAGUCAGGAACGCUUCCACCGCAAUAAAUGAAAGCGUAAAUUAAAGCAGCUUCAAGGAGCAGCCGUGGCCUUAACACCACCUCUGAAAGGCUCAGUGCUUGCAGACUCAUAGAAAAAAUGGGUUUGGAAAGAUCUGUAGGCAUCCGGAUGAACCAUCUGCUCAGAGCUAACUUCCAAGCUUGAUGGGAGCCAUGCAGGGUAUUACCAGCUGGGUUUGCAAAACCAAAUGCCGUGGAGAAGGGAGUCCUUCUGUCUCAGGAGCAUUGUCACUUGCAGAUGAGCUGUGCCUAGCUUGGGGAUUUAUUGUUAAUUUUGCUCCUGUCUCAAAAGCCUUCGAUCACUCAGGCAAAUUAGAAGCCACAUAAUAAAGAAGAGAUCGGUCAUUCCCUCUCUCCUCCUCUCCCUUGAGCCUGUGCUAAUCGCUUAAAUAAUUCUUCUUAUCUCUAACCAUCCUUUUUUUAUUCUCUUCAAAGCAUCCUUUGGGAAAUGUACUCCAAAGACAGAGCUGAGAGUCUGGUAGCAAAUAAACCGAGUUUCAGUUCCAUCCCUUUUUCCUCUGUAGACCAGGGAGCCCCAGGGAGAUGGGAGUACCUGAGCAGUGUGGGGACCUGAUGGUGGGUGCCUGAGCUCAGAGCCCAUUGCCCUGAUUGAGGCUCUGGUGCAGUGAGGAAGAUCUGGGCAUAAUAUAGUGCACACUCUGUUCUGCAGUCUAGUCUGCUGCUCACUGCUAGGUUUACAGAGAAGAAAGCUGCUGCAUGCCAAAAUUACAUAAAUUCUGCUGGUUUCCUAUAGCCUAAGCCUCACAUUCACUAGGUAUGAUUACCUCAUGCUCACCUCUGCACCUGGGGAGUACACAAGGCCAACAAACAAGCCGAGCCAGAAAAAAGCUUCCUGGUUCCUGACAUCACUUUGCUUAUUCAGUGAAACGUGGUGUGCGAGGUCGGGGCGGGGGCACGUGGGGCUGCUGGGCGCAGUGCUUGUUUGUUGGGCUCAGCCUGGCCCUGGUGGGCUCUGCCAGGUGAGCUCUGGUUGCAGGAGGGCAGUGAGGGCAGUGUCACUCUGGGGGAGCACAAGCUGUUCCCUACUCACGUGGGCAGUGCUGCUCAGGAGGGUGAAACAUGAGCUUUUCUUCGCUGGAGGGCGGCAGGUGACGGUCAUGAACCACGACCAGGGCAGGAAAACCUCCGCAGAUAAAGAAGUGCCUUUUCAGCCCAAACAAGGGGUUUCGUAGACAAUUUUUAUUUGUUUUAGAAUUUGUGUUUCCCUGUGAAAAUUUGAUAGAUUUUCCUUUUUAAAUCAAAAUAUCUUUUCAAGGGAAACAAGACCUCAUUUACCUUCCUCUGCGUAAAGCUUGCUGUCUUCUUCAGCUGUCCCAUGAGCUUGUAGGUAGAAGUUAGCACACAUUAUAUGGAACAGAAAGAUGAUCUAUAGUAAGGACCGCUGUGUUUUCAUUUGUAUGCGCUCCAUUCUUACGUGAUGCUUUGAGCCAAGUGAUGCUGGAGGCAGCAGGAAGGUGGGACAGGCUCAAGGCUCGCUGUCUUUAACUGCAGGUUUCACAAUACAAAGGAGCCGCACCAAUGAGGGAGGCACCACUGAUGCCUGGGCUCUGGCGUGCUCUCACUUUGCCAGACACCCAAAACCCAUUUGUGAGUGAGGCACUGUAGUGUCUCAACCACAGGUUGUGUCAUAAAGCAAAAUCCAUCCGCAUUUCCUCAGUUCCAGCCUUCGGGAACUGUUGGCUUUCCUUUCACCCGUCUGUCUGCCUUCCCGGCUAUUGCUCCGAAGCGCUCUGCCACGCCUUGCUGCUCUGUGCCCUCAUCUAAGUCGUUAAUUAAAUCACUCAGUGGGAGCAUCAAGAUAGUCACGGGAUGGAACGAGUGAUCCCAUUGCUGCCACGGUUGUCCUUCUGCUCCCUCCCCACCCACCUCUUCCAUUUUGCUCCUGUUGUAUCAUGUCUCUGUGGAACAUUACCAUUUCAAGGCAGAGACUGUGCCAUUGUUUUCUGAGAACCACCCAGGAUAGUGAAGGGAGCUCAGUAAUAAUAACUAUUAUUAACACUGUGGUAGAGGGCGGAAUUUGGCUGCUGUAUCCUUUUUGUGUGCAGGGCUUUAUGCUGAGAUACACUGCUCUGCUCUGGCGUGUGCAUGCACUUGGAAAAAAUAGAGCAUAUGGACUUUUCUUCAGUUCCCAACGUUCCUGAAAGUACUUUUGAGUCAUUGUAGCUUGAAAAUGUCCUUUGCAGCGAGCUCCUCCUGUCCCCGUGCUGUGCGUGUCCCCGGCUGGAUGAGCGGUGCUGCAGGCCACGAGGUGCCCCGUGAUAGCGGCUGUGAACAGGCGGCUGUGCUGCUGCGAGGUGGGGGGCUGGCGGGCACUGAGCAGCCCAGGAGCUGUUGCUGCAGAAGUGGGUCUGUGUGUAGGUCCCACUGUUCCUCAGCCUCAAGUCUCGCCUGUUUUUUUAACAUAAUUGACUUAAUUAGCUCAGUUGAAUGGGGAUUGUACAAUAAAUGGAAUCUACAUGCUUCCUCUGAGGAGUGGUGCUGUACACAGCAACUGGAGCAGCAGUGUUUCUUUAGCCCACACCAAACUCUUGGUUUGUACUGUGACUUGCAAAAGAAAUGAUGUCACUAAUACAACGACCACUCAUUUCUGUGUUUCUCAGUGGGUCUUCUGACAGGAUCGUUUCAGUGACUGCCCUCCAGCUCAGUAUUUAUUUCAAACAUCAGUUUCACAUCUAGUAAUAGCCAUUUACUUCUUUCUGAUUGUUUUGGUACCUGGUAAAGGGAGCAAAAGGGCAGAACCCUUCAGAAGCAGCAAGCACAUCCAAGUACAUCCAUUAUUGCAUUACCUCUGAUCAGGUUCUUGGAGCUUUGGUCACUUUUUUUUUGUUUUGUUUUGUUUUGUUUUAAUUGAUUUUCUGAGUUAUUGAGGUUUGGAAUACAAAGUGUUCUUUGAUCCUUGGUACUGUUUUUUAAUACCCAAACUGUUUGAUGCUUCCUAUAGCAAAACGACAUCUUGCAGUUCAAUCAUCUCUCCACUACAAAAUGAGGUCUGCAGGAUCCUCUGAUUUGUAUGGCUUAGGGGAGAACUUCCUAUCAGCUGGGACCGGAACUCAGUCUUUGGACCUCUUUUCUUCACCGUGUUUUAAGUCACUGUCUGACUCUUGCCAUUUAAUUAACUUUGUAGCACUUGACAGCAAAACAAGGAUGGUUUUAUGUUCACUCAGGAGGGUUAAGAUGCUUAAUUAGGCUGUGCUUUUGAAGUAGUUCCCUUAAUUCACUGCAGAAGAUCGGUGUAUUCAUGUGUAUCACAUGCACUGCAUUUAAAUAGGUUUAUACCAAGAGCAUUAGGUGAGUGUAUGCUUUGGAAGAACCUUGUGUGCACCUCUGCCCAUGAUAGCAUUUUGCGUCAGCUCACUUCUUUGAGUCAGAAAUGUAAAUGUGGUAAUCAAUAUCUCCGUGAGCCUGGAAGGCAAAGCCCCACAAUUAACAAUAACGUGCAGGUGAUAAUUAAGCUUGUUUUAUAUGUCCCAGUUCUGGAGGCUGAUAACACAGACAAUCUCAGCUGCCUGGUCAUAGCUGAUAUUUGGGGACGGGCAGCAAGGAAGCUAAGAUAUUUUUUAAAAAGAUGAUGUGGUCAUGCAGGAAUGCAGUCAUGUGAAAAGUACCUAUGAUAGAGGGGGAAAAAAUGCUUCAUUCUUCCCUAGCUAGGUCUCUCCAUUUCUUCCCUGUGAUCAACAUAACACAUGUCAGAAACUGAGUUUACGUGGACCAAGACUUGGCACGUUGUACCAGCAAGGCAUUGGCUCCUGGUGAUGUGAGGCGCUGGCAAGGUGCUUGGGCCAGCGAGCAGCCCACACUAGGUGAUAAUUUAUGGCUACCUGUAAUCUCCUCUAAAUAGAAACCAUUUAUAUUCUUGCUAGGGAAGCGAGAAAUGACCAGACAAUGAGAGUUCAGCCAAACCAAACCUUCCUAUAACUCUGCAAAAGGCAAACGCUCUCUGGUACUGACAUUAACAAUGGUAUGGGCUCUUAGAAACCGUACAAUUUCGGUUUUAUUUAUUUUAAUACUGUUUGCCUGUGAAAUUUCAGAAGCUGGCAGUUUAUAAGAGCAGAAGCUGAGUUUUUACUCUUGGAUUUUGAUUCAGUUUCUUUAAAGCACAAGAAAGACUGAGCACCAGCCCAGUGCUGUGCAGCAUUUGUGCCCUCCCAAUGGGUGCUGUGUUGAUAACCCAAAGGUGCAAUACAACAGCCGUUACUCAGUGAUGCUGUUGAGCACUGCAGCAGUGGUGCAGAUGUUAUCCUUGCCCCACCCUGUGGUUUGGCAUCAUGCUGCCCUCCCUGCAAACUCCCAUCUAUGUGCUGGGAGGUAAGGACGGGUCUGGGGGUGCGCCAGGCCAUGGCCAGUGGGAGCUGUGCUGGAGGCAGUGAGUUUGGGGAAGGUGUUGGGCUUUGAAAAAAGCUGGUAGCCUGAAGGGGCAGCAGAGGCUGCUCUCAGUCCUCCAGGUACUUGGUCUGUGCUGCUGUGCUUGGGUGAAGGCUUCCAACAAUGGGCCUGAGGCCUCCUGUGGGAUCUGAUCACAUCAGGUCUUUGGGGGAUGCGCUUUGGUAAAUCAGAAAGUGAGCUCUCCACUCACAGGCCCUCUUCUCUCUCUAAGAUUUAGUAUGUCCAUAGUUGGCACCCAAAUGCUACGGUGUGAGUAUAGGCAUGCACUGAACUAACAGAUCCAGCUGGAGAAUCUCAGUUUGGAUCUACCUGUUUCUUGAACCUGGCUUAUUUAUAAGCUGAGAUCAAGGAUUCCACAUGACAUUUCCCCAAUCCCAUGGGUGCUAUGCCUAUUUCUGGUAUGAGCUAUUCUCUGCCCUGUCUGUCUGUAUGUGUUAUUUAUCUUUACACAUGUGCCUAGCUUCAUGUUAUUAUUUAUGAAUGCUCCUCAUCAUUCUCCCAAAGAGAGCCCAACACUGCAAGGGGGCAGGGACUCUGUUUCUUACACACAGUAACUCAGUACAGCCUUUAGGCAUCACUGAAACUCAAAGCAUUCAUUCCAUUGAGUUUAGCCAGUAAAAAGCACUUCACCUGUCUCACACUUCUUGGAGUUUUACUGAUUUCCCUUCUGUGGAGCAACAACUUCACCACAAUUCUUCCCUUCUCUCUCUUUUCUCUCUUUUAAAGUUUUCUUUUUUUUCUUUCUUUCUUUCUUUUUUUUUUUUUUUUUUUUUUUUUUUUUGCUAACUGUUAAGCAAUUCCACCUGGAGAUGUGAGAACUUCACAGGCUGUAAAGCUUACAUCCUGCAAAUCUCCUUAUCCAGUAUUAAAAACAUCUAAAGGAGUGGAAGCACUGCUGAAAUAUAUUGUGUUAUGCUUAGGAAUGGACACAGGGAUGAGAUUUGCUCAACAAAAUAACCUUUAUGGUUUUAGGAAUGGCACAGUGAAUUAAUAUGAAUCCAAUGGAAUUAUAGAAAUUACCUUCUACAGAAACAACUUCUUUAAAACAGUGAAGUUAAAGUCAUGAAAAAUAUCUUAAAAGCAGUUACUGUGAAAGUCCUUCUCUCCCCACAGUGACGUUUGCAAAGGGGAGACAUCUGUUUCUCAUGUAAAUUAAUACUUACACUUAAGAUACACAAUAGAAAUAUUUAUCAAAAAUAGGAUAAUGGCAAAGACUGAAAGGAUUGGUUUACGCACCCAUAGUGGAGGCAAGACAGCACUUGCAAAUUGCGUAGAAGCACACUGAUCUUAAGUUGAAAUACUCUGUAUAAGCAUGGGAUUAUUCGUGUCUGUGUGUUUGUGUAUGCAUUUGUGUCUACGUACUUAGUAAUUGUUUCUAAUAGGUUAUGGUUUUGGAAAUACUAGCCUGUGCAAUACUAGUCCCAUCCUCAUAUUUACGUAAAACGUUUGCCAUUUUUCAUUGGCUUUAGUUCUUGUUAACUUAUGGAAAAACUUUCUAGCUACACUUCCAUGCUCCGUUGUACCCUGCCAUCACCACAGCCAUACAGUGUGGUGCUCCCAGGCUUCUGUUUGAAACAAAGAUGUAAUGCAGAGCCAAGGAACUGCAUGAUGUAAAUCUGCAGAGUAUCCCAGUCCCUAUCACAGGCUUAUAUCUCCACUUGAUGAGUACUGAAAACCAAAGCCUGAUGUCAUGUGUGCAUUCUCAAAGGAACGAAGAAGAGCAUGUGAGUGUGUAGUUGUGUUACUGAAACAUCACCAUGUCUGUGCUGAACUGGAGGCAGCAGCAUGCAGAGCUUUGUGGUUCUUUAUGCCUUAAAGGAAAACCUUAUAACAUGUUUUUCUUCAUGUUGCCAUAACACUUUGUAUCUUAGCAAUAAAUACUGGGUAGAUUUAGUGUUAUCGCAAGAAAUUUGUGCUCCGGAGAUUUACUGUUCCACUCCCACAGCACCUUUAAACCCCACAUCAGUGGUAGGACAGCAAUUCCUGGCCGCCGUUAGGACCAAUUUACCUCAUUUCCUCUGUUUCAGCAAAGUGAGAUCGAAGAGGUUAGAAAAAUAACAAACAUAAAAACAGGAGGAAAGCUAUUGCUAACCUCUGCGUGUAACAGAGUCACACUUCAGAACAAGCCCAAAGGGUUCUGCUUGGCGGAGGCGAGGGGAAAUCUUUGUACUGCUGGGCUCACAUUGCUGCUUGUCGCUGUUGUCAUGUCUCAUCUGGGUGUCUUUAACAUGAAAUAAAAUAUUACCAUGGUAAGGACCAAAAAAGUGAGAAAUGCACUCAUCUGUGUCCCUGACUUGUGCCAAAGAAUUUUUCAUUCCUACCUCAGCUCUAAUGUGAAAUGUGUUAAAUGAAAAUCUCCAGGAGAGUAUCCAGAAUAGAUAGGCAUGUUUAGGUCAGCAUACCAUUUGGCAUUGCCAUGGACCUCG
ensembl:lncRNA